GACCAGACUCCUACGGGAGGCAGCAGUGGGGAAUAUUGCACAAUGGGGGAAACCCUGAUGCAGCAACGCCGCGUGGGUGAAGGAGCGCUUCGGCGCGUAAAGCCCUAUCGGCAGGGAAGAAGGAGGACGGUACCUGACUAAGAAGCCCCGGCUAACUACGUGCCAGCAGCCGCGGGAAUACGUAGGGGGCAAGCGUUAUCCGGAUUCACUGGGUGUAAAGGGAGCGUAGACGGCGACGCAAGUCUGGAGUGAAAGCCCGGGGCCCAACCCCGGGACUGCUCUGGAAACUGCGGCGCUGGAGUACGGGAGGGGCAGGCGGAAUUCCUGGUGUAGCGGUGAAAUGCGUAGAUAUACGGAGGAACACCAGUGGCGAAGGCGGAUUGCUGGACAGUAACUGACGCUGAGGCGCGAAAGCGUGGGGAGCAAACAGGAUUAGAUACCCCCGUA
rnacentral:rRNA from 1 species